rnacentral:pre_miRNA from 1 species
UUUGUUUAGAAAGAUCUUCGUCGGUGGUAUCGCGUACGAUGUGCUGAAUGAAGAUCUUACCAAUCAUU